CAGCCGCCGCGGGAAUACGAAGGGUGCAAGCGUUACUCGGAAUUACUGGGCGUAAAGCGCGCGUAGGCGGCUUUUUAAGUCAGAGGUGAAAGCCCGGGGCUCAACCCCGGAAUUGCCUUUGAAACUGGAAAGCUAGAAUCUUGGAGAGGUCAGUGGAAUUCCGAGUGUAGAGGUGAAAUUCGUAGAUAUUCGGUAGAACACCAGUGGCGAAGGCGACUGACUGGACAAGUAUUGACGCUGAGGUGCGAAAGCGUGGGGAGCAAACAGGAUUAGAUACCCCUGUAGUCCCUGUCUCUUAUAC
rnacentral:rRNA from 1 species